AAUCAAUGUGCCCAAGAAAAGCCUAGGGGAACCGCAACAAGCUGGGGUUAACCACCAACUCCGUCCCGUGGCAGCAGUGAAUUUCAAGCAAGAAGAAUGCAGCUCAGAUGUUAAUAGAUUAAAAUCCAGUUUGUGACUAUUUACAGUGUCUGCAGACCAUCCGGAAAACAAAUGUUUUCCAAGAGCAUAUUUGCAUAAUAAAAUGUGAAAACAUACA